rnacentral:rRNA from 1 species
UACGUAGGACGCAAGCGUUAUCCGGAUUCAUUGGGUUUAAAGGGUGCGUAGGCGGGCCGUUAAGUCUGUGGUGAAAGUUUGCCGCUUAACGGUGAGAUUGCCAUUGAUACUGGAGGCCUUGAGUGCAGAUGAGGUAGGCGGAAGGUGUAGUGUAGUGGUGAAAUACUUAGAUAUUACACAGAACACCGAUGGCGAAGGCAGCUUACUAAAUUGCAACUGACGCUGAGGCACGAAAGCGUGGGGAUCAAACAGG